UACGUAGGGGGCGAGCGUUGUCCGGAUUUAUUGGGCGUAAAGAGCUCGUAGGCGGUUUUGCAAGUCGGGUGUGAAAACUCCGGGCUCAACCCGGAGACGCCACUCGAUACUGCUAUGACUUGAGUCCGGUAGGGGAGUGCGGAAUUCCUGGUGUAGCGGUGAAAUGCGCAGAUAUCAGGAGGAACACCGGUGGCGAAGGCGGCACUCUGGGCCGGUACUGACACUGAGGAGCGAAAGCGUGGGGAGCGAACAGG
rnacentral:rRNA from 1 species